GAUGAACGCUGGCGGCGUGCCUAAUACAUGCAAGUCGAGCGAACAGACGAUGAGCUUGCUCCUCUGACGUUAGCGGCGGACGUGUGAGUAACAUGUGGAUAACCUACCUAUAAGACUGGGAUAACUUCGUGAAACCGGAGCUAAUACCGGAUAAUAUAUUGAACCGCAGGGUUCAAUAGUGAAAGAGGGUUUUGCUGUCACUUAUAGAUGGAUCCGCGCCGUUUUAGCUAGUUGGUAAGGUAACGGCUUACCAUGGCAACCGUGCGUAGCCGACCGGAGAGGGUGAUCGGCCACAGUGGAGGUGAGCCACGGUACUGACUCCUAGGGGAGGCAGCAGUAGGGAAUCGUGCGAAAUGGGCGAAAGCCUGACGGAGCAACGCCGCGUGAGUGAUGAAGGUCUUCGGAUCGUAAAACUCUGUUAUUGGUGAAGAACAAAUGUGUAAGUAACUAUGCACGUCUUGACGGUACCUAAACAGAAAGCAACGGCUAACUACGUG
rnacentral:rRNA from 1 species